UACGGAGGGUGCAAGCGUUAUCCGGAUUCACUGGUUAAAGGGUGCGUAGGUGGGUAGGUAAGUCAGUGGUGAAAUCCCCGAGCUUAACUCGGGAACUGCCGUUGAUACUAUCUAUCUUGAAUAUCGUGGAGGUAAGCGGAAUAUGUCAUGUAGCGGUGAAAUGCUUAGAUAUGACAUAGAACACCCAUUGCGAAGGCAGCUUACUACACGAUCAUUGACACUGAUGCACGAAAGCGUGGGGAGCAAACAGG
rnacentral:rRNA from 1 species